rnacentral:rRNA from 1 species
UACGGAGGGUGCAAACGUUGCUCGGAAUCAUUGGGCGUAAAGCGCACGUAGGCGGCCAUCUAAGUCAGACGUGAAAUCCCCCGGCUUAACCUGGGAACUGCGUCUGAUACUGGACGGCUGGAGUUUGGGAGAGGGAUGCGGAAUUCCAGGUGUAGCGGUGAAAUGCGUAGAUAUCUGGAGGAACACCGGUGGCGAAGGCGGCAUCCUGGACCAACACUGACGCUGAGGAGCGAAAGCCAGGGGAGCAAACGGG